GUGAGGAAUAUUGGUCAAUGGGCGCAAGCCUGAACCAGCCAUGCCGCGUGCAGGAAGACGGUCCUAUGGAUUGUAAACUGCUUUUAUUUGGGAAUAAACCUCCUUACGUGUAGGGAGCUGAAGGUACCAAAUGAAUAAGCACCGGCUAACUCCGUGCCAGCAGCCGCGGUAAUACGGAGGGUGCAAGCGUUAUCCGGAAUCAUUGGGUUUAAAGGGUCCGCAGGCGGUCAUAUAAGUCAGUGGUGAAAGCCUACAGCUCAACUGUAGAACUGCCAUUGAUACUGUAUGACUUGAAUUCGAUCGAAGUGGGCGGAAUGUGACAUGUAGCGGUGAAAUGCUUAGAUAUGUCACAGAACACCGAUAGCGAAGGCAGCUCACUAGGUCUGGAUUGACGCUCAGGGACGAAAGCGUGGGGAGCAAACAGGAUUAGAUACCCUUGUAGUCC
rnacentral:rRNA from 1 species